rnacentral:rRNA from 1 species
AUUGAACGCUGGCGGCAGGCCUAACACAUGCAAGUCGAGCGGAUGAAGGGAGCUUGCUCCUGGAUUCAGCGGCGGACGGGUGAGUAAUGCCUAGGAAUCUGCCUGGUAGUGGGGGAUAACGUCCGGAAACGGGCGCUAAUACCGUAUACGUCCUGAGGGAGAAAGUGGGGGAUCUUCGGACCUCACGCUAUCAGACGAGCCUAGGUCGGAUUAGCUAGUUGGUGGGGUAAAGGCCUACCAAGGCGACGAUCCGUAACUGGUCUGAGAGGAUGAUCAGUCACACUGGAACUGAGACACGGUCCAGACUCCUACGGGAGGCAGCAGUGGGGAAUAUUGGACAAUGGGCGAAAGCCUGAUCCAGCCAUGCCGCGUGUGUGAAGAAGGUCUUCGGAUUGUAAAGCACUUUAAGUUGGGAGGAAGGGCAGUAAGUUAAUACCUUGCUGUUUUGACGUUACCAACAGAAUAAGCACCGGCUAACUUCGUG